rnacentral:rRNA from 1 species
GCUUGUCUCAAAGAUUAAGCCAUGCAUGUCUAAGUAUAAACAAUUUUGUACUGUGAAACUGCGAAUGGCUCAUUAUAUCAGUUAUAGUCUACUCGAUAGUACCUUACUACUUGGAUAACCGUAGUAAUUCUAGAGCUAAUACAUGCGCAAAUACUCAACUGCUUGUCGGAAGAGUAGCAUUUAUUAGAUUGAAACCAAUGCAGUCUUUUGGCUGGUAUUGUGUUGAGUCAUAAUAACUGUGCGGAUCGCAAUUAUUGCGAUAAAUCGAUUGAGUUUCUGCCCUAUCAGCUUUGGAUGGUAGGAUAUGGGCCUACCAUGGCAUUAACGGGUAACGGGGAAUUAGGGUUUGAUUCCGGAGAGGGAGCCUUAGAAACGGCUACCACAUCCAAGGAAGGCAGCAGG